rnacentral:misc_RNA from 1 species
AACUUGCAACAACGUAUCUCUUGGUUCUCGCAUCGAUUAAGAACGCAGCGAAAUGCGAUAAGUAAUGUGAAUUGCAGAAUUUAGUGAAUCAUCGAAUCUUUGAACGCACAUUGCGCCCUUUGGUAUUCCGAGGGGCAUGCCUUUUCGAGCGUCAUUACGACCAUCAAGCCCCGCUUGGUAUUGGGCCUCUCGUCCCCUCGCGGACGGGCCUCAAAGCAAUCGGCGGCCGAGCGACCGGCUUCGAGCGUAGUAUCAUUUUCUCGCCCCGAAGGUCGGACUCGGCCCGCCGUGCAACCUGAAUUUUCUCUCAAGGUUGACCUCGGAUAAGGUAGGGAUACCCGCUGAACUUAAGCAUAUCAAUAAGCGGAGGCU